GGAGAGAUGGCCGAGCAGGUCAAAGGCGCUCCCCUGCUAAGGGAGUAUGGGGCGAAAGCUUCAUCGAGGGUUCGAAUCCCUCUCUCUCCGCCA
rnacentral:tRNA from 1 species